UACGUAGGGGGCGAGCGUUGUCCGAAGUUACUGGGCGUAAAGCGCGCGUAGGCGGCUAUUUAAGUCUGGGGUGAAAGGUUCAGCGCUCAACGCGAACAGUGCCUUGGAUACUGGAUGGCUUGAGUUCGGGAGGGGGUAGUGGAAUUCCUGGUGUAGCGGUGAAAUGCGUAGAUAUCAGGAGGAACACCGGUGGCGAAGGCAGCCCCCUGGGUCAAAACUGACGCUCAUGCACGAAAGCGUGGGGAGCAAACAGG
rnacentral:rRNA from 1 species